UGGGGAAUUUUGGACAAUGGGCGAAAGCCUGAUCCAGCAAUGCCGCGUGUGUGAAGAAGGCCUUCGGGUUGUAAAGCACUUUUGUCCGGAAAGAAAUCCUUGGCUCUAAUACAGUCGGGGGAUGACGGUACCGGAAGAAUAAGCACCGGCUAACUACGUGCCAGCAGCCGCGGUAAUACGUAGGGUGCAAGCGUUAAUCGGAAUUACUGGGCGUAAAGCGUGCGCAGGCGGUUUGCUAAGACCGAUGUGAAAUCCCCGGGCUCAACCUGGGAACUGCAUUGGUGACUGCAAGGCUAGAGUAUGGCAGAGGGGGGUAGAAUUCCACGUGUAGCAGUGAAAUGCGUAGAGAUGUGGAGGAAUACCGAUGGCGAAGGCAGCCCCCUGGGCCAAUACUGACGCUCAUGCACGAAAGCGUGGGGAGCAAACAGGAUUAGAUACCCUGGUAGUCCACGCCCUAAACGAUGUCAACUAGUUGUUGGGGAUUCAUUUCCUUAGUAACGUAGCUAACGCGUGAAGUUGACCGCCUGGGGAGUACGGUCGCAAGAUUAAAACUUAAAGGAAUUGACGGGGUCAUAGCUGUUUCCU
rnacentral:rRNA from 1 species